rnacentral:rRNA from 1 species
AGGUGCUGCAUGGCUGUCGUCAGCUCGUGUCGUGAGAUGUUGGGUUAAGUCCCGCAACGAGCGCAACCCUCGUCCUAUGUUGCCAGCGGGUCAUGCCGGGGACUCAUGGGAGACUGCCGGGGUCAACUCGGAGGAAGGUGGGAUGACGUCAAAUCAUCAUGCCCCUUAUGUCUUGGGCUUCACGCAUGCUACAAUGGCCGGUACAAAGGGCUGCGAUACCGCGAGGUGGAGCGAAUCCCAGAAAGCCGGUCUCAGUUCGGAUUGGGGUCUGCAACUCGACCCCAUGAAGUCGGAGUCGCUAGUAAUCGCAGAUCAGCAACGCUGCGGUGAAUACGUUCCCGGGCCUU